GGUCUUAUUGAAUUGCACACCUGCCAGAAACCAGGCACGGCGAUUAACGAACUGGCUGGAGUUUUUGGUCGCGGUGGCUGUUUUUAAUUUUUUUGUGUGCUGCGUGCAUAUUGCAGAGUUCGCUUUCUCCUGCUUUCGCAUGUUUUCUGGGGAUUGAACUCAGGUCAUCGAGUUUGUGUGGCAAGCCACCAAAUCAUCCGGCUGGCCCUGGGCUUGAGUUUUUAGCCAAUCUAUCUGCUGCCUGGACAGUCACUGUCUGUACUCAGGGCAGAGUCUGCUUCGUGCCUCUGCUGCUGCUCGUAGACUUUCACAAGUGUGUUUGCAGAAAGGGAGUUGGUUUUCCACUCGCAGAGCCAGUCCCUUGCUAGCUGGUUCUUCCUCAUUCACCUGCUCCUAAUCUGCGUGCUGGGUACCGUGGACUCCGGCCUGUGACUCAGAGCUGCCACCUUCCCUAGAUGUGACACCGAUGGUGGCCUGAGGGCUGCAGUAGACAGAAUAAUGAUCUCCAAGAAUGCCUACAUCUUGGAACCUGGUUAUUUUCCUAACCAAGGAAGAGGGCAAACCUGAUCAAGCACGGGCACCAUGAGCUAAUUACUUCAAUUAAAACAGACUCCAACUCUGGGCAUUGAAGACUUUCACAGGGAAGAAUUGUUGGCUGAAGACUCCAGUUAUUCUUACCGCCAUUCACUACACAAUGCUGGUUGCAGGGUAAUUAUUGUACUAUAAACCAUGGUACUUUCUGUACUUGUUUACUGGGCGCCAGGAACGCCACUAAAUUUUUUACCUAUUUUAGCUCACUGAAGCUUUUCCCCUGAGACUGGAACGGCCAUUAUCCCUACUUCAAAGAUGAAGAGAUUAUGGUGAUGGAGAUUCAGGACACUACUGGAGCUCAGACUGCUAACAGGAGGUGAAGUCAGGGCUCUACAGGGAUGCCUGGCAGUCAUGCCCUCUCUACCACACUUGCUGCCCACACUUGAUAAAGGGCUUUCAGUAUACACUGGGUUUCUAUUCCCAGAUUAAAGAUUCAUGACCAAUUUGA